GGCCGGAUAGCUCAGUGGGUUAGAGCAUCGUCCUGAUACACCAAGGUUGUGGGUUCCCUCUCUGGUCA
rnacentral:tRNA from 1 species